rnacentral:rRNA from 1 species
UACGUAGGGGGCAAGCGUUGUCCGGAAUCAUUGGGCGUAAAGCGCGUGUAGGCGGUUUCGUAAGUCUGCUGUGAAAGUCGAAGGCUCAACCUUCGAGUGCCAGUGGAUACUGCGAAACUAGAGUUCGGAAGAGGCAAGUGGAAUUCCUGGUGUAGCGGUGAAAUGCGCAGAUAUCAGGAGGAACACCAACGGCGAAGGCAGCUUGCUGGGACGACACUGACGCUGAGACGCGAAAGCGUGGGGA